rnacentral:rRNA from 1 species
CUUGGUCAUUUAGAGGAAGUAAAAGUCGUAACAAGGUUUCCGUAGGUGAACCUGCGGAAGGAUCAUUACCUAGAGUUGUAGGCUUUGCCUGCUAUCUCUUACCCAUGUCUUUUAAGUACCUUACGUUUCCUCGGCGGGUCCGCCCGCCGAUUGGACAAUUUAAACCAUUUGCAGUUGCAAUCAGCGUCUGAAAAAACUUAAUAGUUACAACUUUCAACAACGGAUCUCUUGGUUCUGGCAUCGAUGAAGAACGCAGCGAAAUGCGAUAAGUAGUGUGAAUUGCAGAAUUCAGUGAAUCAUCGAAUCUUUGAACGCACAUUGCGCCCCUUGGUAUUCCAUGGGGCAUGCCUGUUCGAGCGUCAUUUGUACCUUCAAGCUCUGCUUGGUGUUGGGUGUUUGUCUCGCCUCUGCGUGUAGACUCGCCUCAAAACAAUUGGCAGCCGGCGUAUUGAUUUCGGAGCGCAGUACAUCUCGCGCUUUGCACUCAUAACGACGACGUCCAAAAGUACAUUUUUACACUCUUGACCUCGGAUCAGGUAGGGAUACCCGCUGAACUUAAGCAUAUCAAUAAGCGGAGGA